rnacentral:rRNA from 1 species
CCUACGGGAGGCAGCAGUGGGGAAUACUGCACAAUGGGGGAAACCCUGAUGCAGCGACGCCGCGUGAGUGAAGAAGUAUUUCGGUAUGUAAAGCUCUAUCAGCCGGGAAGAAAAUGACGGUACCUGAUUAAUAAGCCCCGGCUAACUACGUGCCAGCAGCCGCGGUCAUACGUAGGGGGCAAGCGUUAUCCGGAUUUACUGGGUGUAAAGGGAGCGUAGACGGCAGCACAAGUCUGGAGUGAAAUGCCGGGGCUUAACCCCGGAACUGCUUUGGAAACUGUGCAGCUAGAGUGCAGGAGAGGUAAGUGGAAUUCCUAGUGUAGCGGUGAAAUGCGUAGAUAUUAGGAGGAACACCAGUGGCGAAGGCGGCUUACUGGACUGUAACUGACGUUGAGGCUCGAAAGCGUGGGGAGCAAACAGGAUUAGAUACCCUUGUAGUC